GACGAACGCUGGCGGCGUGCUUAACACAUGCAAGUCGAACGGUAAGGCUCCAGCUUGCUGGGGUACACGAGUGGCGAACGGGUGAGUAACACGUGGGUGACCUGCCCUGCACUUCGGGAUAAGCCUGGGAAACUGGGUCUAAUACCGGAUAGGACCGCACCGUGAGGGUGUGGUGGAAAGUUUUUUCGGUGUGGGAUGGGCCCGCGGCCUAUCAGCUUGUUGGUGGGGUAAUGGCCUACCAAGGCGGCGACGGGUAGCCGGCCUGAGAGGGUGGACGGCCACAUUGGGACUGAGACACGGCCCAGACUCCUACGGGAGGCAGCAGUGGGGAAUAUUGCACAAUGGGCGGAAGCCUGAUGCAGCGACGCCGCGUGGGGGAUGACGGCCUUCGGGUUGUAAACUCCUUUCACCAUCGACGAAGGGUUUCUGACGGUAGAUGGAGAAGAAGCACCGGCUAACUACGUGCCAGCAGCCGCGGUAAUACGUAGGGUGCGAGCGUUGUCCGGAAUUACUGGGCGUAAAGAGCUCGUAGGUGGUUUGUCGCGUCGUCUGUGAAAUUCCGGGGCUUAACUCCGGGCGUGCAGGCGAUACGGGCAUAACUUGAGUACUGUAGGGGAGACUGGAAUUCCUGGUGUAGCGGUGAAAUGCGCAGAUAUCAGGAGGAACACCGGUGGCGAAGGCGGGUCUCUGGGCAGUAACUGACGCUGAGGAGCGAAAGCAUGGGGAGCGAACAGGAUUAGAUACCCUGGUAGUCCAUGCCGUAAACGGUGGGCGCUAGGUGUGGGUUUCCUUCCACGGGAUCCGUGCCGUAGCUAACGCAUUAAGCGCCCCGCCUGGGGAGUACGGCCGCAAGGCUAAAACUCAAAGGAAUUGACGGGGGCCCGCACAAGCGGCGGAGCAUGUGGAUUAAUUCGAUGCAACGCGAAGAACCUUACCUGGGCUUGACAUAUACAGGAUCGCGCCAGAGAUGGUGUUUCCCUUGUGGCUUGUAUACAGGUGGUGCAUGGUUGUCGUCAGCUCGUGUCGUGAGAUGUUGGGUUAAGUCCCGCAACGAGCGCAACCCUUGUCUUAUGUUGCCAGCACGUUGUGGUGGGGACUCGUAAGAAACUGCCGGAGUUAACUCGGAGGAAGGUGGGGAUGACGUCAAAUCAUCAUGCCCCUUAUGUCCAGGGCUUCACACAUGCUACAAUGGUCGGUACAGUGGGUUGCCAGUCCGUGAGGGCGAGCUAAUCCCGCAAAGCCGGUCUCAGUUCGGAUCGGGGUCUGCAACUCGACCCCGUGAAGUCGGAGUCGCUAGUAAUCGCAGAUCAGCAACGCUGCGGUGAAUACGUUCCCGGGCCU
rnacentral:rRNA from 1 species